rnacentral:snRNA from 1 species
GGAUGUGAGGGCAAUCUGGCUGUAACAUUUGUUACCCCAUUGAUCACCAGGGUUGAUUCGGCUGAUCCGGCUGGCUAGGCGGGUGUCCCCUUGCUCCUUCAAUGAUCCAUGUGCAUCCCUCCCGAAGCUGCGUGCCCCGUCAAAGAGGACGACCACCCCCGAUAGAGGAGGACCAAAUAACCACACAUAUAUUCUUUGUAUUAUUAUAAGUACCAGAAUAGUAUUUAUUUCUAAGGAAUUCAAUAAAGUGAAAAUUAUUUGUUAUUUUUAAAAAUAGGCAAAUGCUGUAAUAUUUGUAUAUGUACACCUACUU